rnacentral:rRNA from 1 species
AGACCCGAAACCCGGUGAUCUAGCCAUGGGCAGGUUGAAGGUUGGGUAACACUAACUGGAGGACCGAACCGACUAAUGUUGAAAAAUUAGCGGAUGACCUGUGGCUGGGGGUGAAAGGCCAAUCAAACCGGGAGAUAGCUGGUUCUCCCCGAAAGCUAUUUAGGUAGCGCCUCGUGAAUUCAUCUCCGGGGGUAGAGCACUGUUUCGGCUAGGGGGCCAUCCCGGCUUACCAACCCGAUGCAAACUGCGAAUACCGGAGAAUGUUAUCACGGGAGACACACGGCGGGUGCUAACGUCCGUCGUGAAGAGGGAAACAACCCAGACCGCCAGCUAAGGUCCCAAAGUCAUGGUUAAGUGGGAAACGAUGUGGGAAGGCCCAGACAGCCAGGAUGUUGGCUUAGAAGCAGCCAUCAUUUAAAGAAAGCGUAAUAGCUCACUGGUCGAGUCGGCCUGCGCGGAAGAUGUAACGGGGCUAAACCAUGCACCGAAGCUGCGGCAGCGACACUCAGGUGUUGUUGGGUAGGGGAGCGUUCUGUAAGCCUGUGAAGGUGGCCUGUGAGGGUUGCUGGAGGUAUCAGAAGUGCGAAUGCUGACAUAAGUAA